GACGAACGCUGGCGGCGUGCUUAACACAUGCAAGUCGAACGGUGAAGCGCCUUCCUUUUUGGUGGGUGUGGAUGAGUGGCGAACGGGUGAGUAACACGUGAGUAACCUGCCCCCUUCUUCUGGAUAACCGCAUGAAAGUGUGGCUAAUACGGGAUAUUCUGGGUCUGUCGCAUGAUGGGUCUGGGAAAGAUAUUGUUUCGGUGGGGGAUGGGCUCGCGGCCUAUCAGCUUGUUGGUGGGGUGAUGGCCUACCAAGGCGGUGACGGGUAGCCGGCCUGAGAGGGUGGACGGUCACACUGGGACUGAGACACGGCCCAGACUCCUACGGGAGGCAGCAGUGGGGAAUAUUGCACAAUGGGCGCAAGCCUGAUGCAGCGACGCCACGUGAGGGAUGGAGGCCUUCGGGUUGUGAACCUCUUUCGCCAGUGAAGCAGGCCUGCCUCGUUUGUGGGUGGGUUGACGGUAGCUGGAUAAGAAGCGCCGGCUAACUACGUG
rnacentral:rRNA from 1 species